rnacentral:lncRNA from 1 species
GUCAGCUGAGGCUUGGGGAGGGAGAGGGCAUGCGUGUCUGUGGCGGCCCUGGGGUCGCCCCAGGACGCGCGGCCUCCUCGUCGCGACAGAGCUGAGCCCACGCAUCUGUUACCUGCCGGGACUCUCCCACGGCUGGGCGGACGCAGGGCCCGAGUCUGAGCCCACGGCCGCACGGGCCACGCGCAGUAGGGAACACUCGGGGUCUGGGGAGGCCUUCCUUGUGCCCUGUUCACGGAGCAAGGGCCAUUUUUAUCCGCUACACGUCAGGCAAAACCUGUGCCAAUUGCCAAAGACUCCACUUCAAAUCUAGCAAAUAAGAGAGAGGACGGUGUGGAUUACGUUAUAUUUAAAACAAGCCCACACAAUGCCUGUAAUUUUUCAUUCUGACUCCGUGAUUACAGCCCGGGACCGACCGGAUCAUAGUCAUCCACACACCGACCCGCUGUUGGGACACAUCGAAUUAAAGGCUUUGCUGCAACUCGAGAUUCUAUUUUGAAUGCCAACCACUGGCAGUUGUUUACCGCUUGUUAAGAAGAAAGAAAGAAAAAAGGAGAAUCUACGAAAGUGUGCAUCCUUCAAAACUCUGCUUAGAAUGGAUCUCGGGAAGCCUUUGCUGAUUCACACAGACCGAGGUAACACGUGCCCUUCCACAGUCUGUGCGGCCGAGGGCUGUUUCCCGGGUCCACCCUGGACGGCAGGGACAGAGCCGGGUUCUUCCCCGUGACCCCAUCCAGGCGCACAGCAGGCAUCUGGCAGGGCCGGCGAAUGGAGGACUGAAUCGUUCCUUGGUGCGGGGACCCAGAUUCAGGGCACGGUGACCUGAGCCAACCAGCUGCCCGUGUCACCAGGCUGAAACCACCAGGGGCUGCCAGGACGUUUGCGGAGGAUAGAGUGCUGAAAUAAGUCCUAACUCUAAAAAAGAAACAGACCCAGAAGUGUUCUAUUUAUAUGAAAAUCGGCUCCAUUUUUAGGUAGCUGUCCUGCCUCACCUCCCCAAGGUGGCCCUGCCCUCCCACAGGCCCGCUCCACACCCCACCCCAUAAUCAGGCCCUACCUGCACCCGUCCUCUCCCCUGAUUGCUCUCUGGAGUUUCCCUGGAUUGUAGGGUGUGAGCUUCCAGACGCCCAGAGGCCCGACUCAUGCCUGGCCCCAGACUCCUUCCCUCCUCCCUCCCUCCCUCCCUGACCUGACUGUUAAUCCCAG